UACGGGGGGGGCAAGCGUUGUUCGGAAUUACUGGGCGUAAAGGGCUCGUAGGCGGCCAACUAAGUCAGACGUGAAAUCCCUCGGCUUAACCGGGGAACUGCGUCUGAUACUGGAUGGCUUGAGGUUGGGAGAGGGAUGCGGAAUUCCAGGUGUAGCGGUGAAAUGCGUAGAUAUCGGGAGGAACACCAGUGGCGAAAGCGGCUUCCUGGGCCAGCACCGACGUUCAGGCACGAAAGCGUGGGGAGCAAACAGG
rnacentral:rRNA from 1 species